UCAACAGGGACCAGAGAAAGGAAUAGGCAAAAACCCUAAACCUCACCACCGGCCACGGCCAUGGCGGCCACCACCACUACCCCCACCUUCCUCCGUGCGACCGAGCUCCGCCUCCUUCGCUGCACCCUCCCCUCCCCGAUCUCCCAACCAGCUCCCCCCUCACCUCCCCCAGCUCACCCGCUCGGUCCUGUCGCGGCCUCCGCCCUCGCCGCCGUCGAUGCCGGGGACUACACGGCUGCUAUCGCCUCCGCCGUCCCCCACAUCUUCCACUCCUACGCCUUUGCCGAGGUUGCCCAUGGCACCCUAGCGCAAGUGUACGCCGACCUCACUGCCGCUGCCGAGGCGUUCCUCCGUGGGGAUGGCGGAGGGGCCGCGGGCGAGGGGUUCCAGUGCAGGUGCGCGCUUGUUUUCUCCGCGGCUGUGGCCGCGCUGCUCGCAUUCACGCAGCAGAACGUGACGGGACCGUCGGGGAAGUGUUCACCCUUCCCUUUCCAGACUUCGCCUUUGGAUGAAGGGGGGCAUAGUGAUCCUGGAAGCGAAUGGGUUGAUUGGGCUUCGGAUCAGUUAGCUUCUUUUGGUUCCCAUGUUCAUGGGAAAUUCGCUCUCUUGCCCUUCAUUGUCUUUGCAGAACUACUCUUCACAAGCAUAAAGGGUCUGGACUCCUCUGAUUGUUGCACUGUGUCAUGGUGGUUGUGCAGAACAUCCUUGUCCCAGCAAAAUAUUUUAGAUGAGCUAUCGUCCUCUUUGUUUGAUCAAGUACAAGUGUACAAGAAACAAGUGCUGACCCACUUUGGUGAUCUUGAAAAGGUCUCUAGCUACUGGGGUUCUUUGCUAUGUGAUGGAGAAGGCCGUUCUUUUGUCUCGGCUGCUUUUCUGGAAGCUGGAAUCGUGGAGUAUAAAUAUGGUCGAGUUGAUGCUUCAAGGCUGCAUCUGGAUAGUGCUCAAGAGGCAUGUGGGAUUCAUCUCUCUCUCACAGGGAUUCUUGGUUUUCGAACAAUACACCAGGUGGACGCCAAGUCCCAAAUGGUUCUAGUUGCAAAGAGUUCUAAACCAGCACCUGAUGAUGGCCAAUCAACAGAGCUAGCAGGACCUCAGAGUGAUGGUAUGGCUUCCAGAAAAGCGAUGAGCUCUGUUCCAGAUGAAAGUGAUGAAUUUUGUGAUAUACUAAGAACACCAAGACUGGCUGAAAAUGGGAAUGGCUCGAGCAGUGAGAGUAUGACAUCUGCAAACACACAGAUACCGCUAUCUGCUAUCCAGCAGGCCGCUGUACUUGCACAAUGUUUACAUGUGAGUCGGAGGAGUCGGAGUGAUGAAAUGUCUGGGUGGGAGAUGGCACCAUACAUAGAGUCAAUUGAUUCUCAAGACAAGUCAUACUUUGUGGUCAGGAGCUUGUGUGAUGUUCUGCGUAUUAGGUGGGAGUCCACCCGCAGUCGGACAAAACAGCGGGCACUGUUAAUGAUGGAGAAUUUGGUUGAAGAUAUUGCCAAAGAAUUUCCUGUAGUUUCACAAAGAGCCAAACUGGUUUUUGGAGUUCAUAUGCCGCCUAUCCCUGCAUUAAGGAAAGAGUAUGGUGAACUUUUGAUAAGUUGUGGUUUACUUGGUGAAGCUCUUAGUGUCUUCAAAGAACUCGAAUUGUGGGAUAAUCUAAUCUAUUGCUAUCGUUUAUCGGGUAAAGUUGCUGAUGCUGUUAGUCUAAUAAAUACCCGGCUCUCUGUCACACCAAAUGACCCAAGGCUAUGGUGUUCACUUGGCGAUGCUACUAAUAAUGAUGACCAUUAUAAGAAAGCACUGGAAGUCUCAAAUAACAAAUCUGCUCGAGCUCUGCGCUCUCUGGCUCGCAGUGCAUACAACAAGAAUGAUUUCCAUACAUCCAAAAUUCUUUGGGGAUCUGCAUUGGCAUUGAAUUCUUUGUACCCAGAUGGCUGGUUUGCCUAUGGUACAGCUGCAUGGAAGGAUAAAGAUCUUGAGAAGGCAGUGGAUGCUUUUAGUCGUGCUGUGCAGAUAGAUCCUGAGAACGGAGAAGCGUGGAACAACAUAGCCUGCCUGCACAUGAUUAGAGGAAAGAGCCAGGCGGCAGUCCAGGCAUUCAAGGAAGCUGUAAAGUUCAAGAGGAACAGCUGUGAAGUUUGGGAAAAUUACAGUAAGGUUGCUUUGGACACAUGCAACAUGCGACUGACACUUGAAGCUGUCAAAAUGGUAUUGAAUCUGUCCUCGAACAAGCGCUUCAAUGUUGAUUUAUUGGACAAGGUGAUGGCCUAUGUCGAAGAACAAGGUACACAACUUACUCAAGAAGCUAAAUCCAUAAGCAACCCUUCAGAUGAUGCAAACAAAGAGACCAGGCUACCAAAUCAAUUGCUAGAUAUAAUUGGUGAUAUCCUUCAGCAGAUUGUACGGAGUGGGGCUAGCAAUGCAGAGAUAUGGGGAUUAUAUGCAAGAUGGCAUAAAAGCAAGGGCAACCUCAUGGCAUGCUCGGAAGCUUUGUUGAAGCAAGUUCGAUCACUCCAGGGUUCAGGAUUAUGGCAUGAUCAGAAGAAGUUCACGAAGUAUGCUCAAGCUUCUCUGCAACUUUGCAAGGUCUAUAUCGAAAUUUCCUCCACGACUGGAAGCAGACGAGAAUUAUUGUCAGCUGAGAUGCAUCUUAAAAGCUCCUUGAAACAGGCAACGGACUUCUCAGGUACGGAGGAGUAUAAAUCACUUAAUGACUGCCUUGACCAAUUAAGGGGCCUGAUUGGCGCUGCAUAGAGUUACUGAUAUCUUGGUUGCGAAUCAAGGUCACCUUGUCAUAUGGCUUAUCACAGACCCUUUAUAAAUGACAAGCAUCGUCAAGUCGCAUCAUCCGAUGGUCUAUGCUCAAGUUCGGCACGAAGAGUACACCAGACCCUUUAUUUACUCUUGUUCUGUUAUUCAUGUUGGUCGUUUGCUGAAUGUUUCAGCGCACAAUCCAGCAUGUAGUUGUGAGCACUUUGUUAAUCAGGUUUAUCAUGUGUAAUCCCAGACUGUAUUUGGGAAAAAUAUUUGUACGGUUGCUUCUGUUUGAAUGAAAAUGUUGUCGUGC
rnacentral:rRNA from 1 species